UUACGCCCAUAUCAUGUUGAAACAUCGGUUCUUGUAUGAUCACUGAAGUUAAGCAACAUCAAGCCUGGUCAGUACCUAAAUGGGUGACUGCUUAUGAAUACCAGGUGCUGUAA
rnacentral:rRNA from 1 species